rnacentral:rRNA from 1 species
GAUGAACGCUGGCGGCGUGCCUAAUACAUGCAAGUCGAGCGAACAGACGAGGAGCUUGCUCCUCUGACGUUAGCGGCGGACGGGUGAGUAACACGUGGAUAACCUACCUAUAAGACUGGGAUAACUUCGGGAAACCGGAGCUAAUACCGGAUAAUAUAUUGAACCGCAUGAUUCAAUAGUGAAAGACGGUUUUGCUGUCACUUAUAGAUGGAUCCGCGCCGCAUUAGCUAGUUGGUAAGGUAACGGCUUACCAAGGCAACGAUGCGUAGCCGACCUGAGAGGGUGAUCGGCCACACUGGAACUGAGACACGGUCCAGACUCCUACGGGAGGCAGCAGUAGGGAAUCUUCCGCAAUGGGCGAAAGCCUGACGGAGCAACGCCGCGUGAGUGAUGAAGGUCUUCGGAUCGUAAAACUCUGUUAUUAGGGAAGAACAAAUGUGUAAGUAACGAUGCACGUCUGGACGGUACCUAAGCAGAAAGCCACGGCUAACUACGU